rnacentral:rRNA from 1 species
AGUGAACGCUGGCGGUAGGCCUAACACAUGCCAGUCGAACGGCAGCACAGUAAGAGCUUGCUCUUACGGGUGGCGAGUGGCGGACGGGUGAGGAAUACAUCGGAAUCUACUUUUUCGUGGGGGAUAACGUAGGGAAACUUACGCUAAUACCGCAUACGACCUACGGGUGAAAGCAGGGGAUCUUCGGACCUUGCGCGAUUGAAUGAGCCGAUGUCGGAUUAGCUAGUUGGCGGGGUAAAGGCCCACCAAGGCGACGAUCCGUAGCUGGUCUGAGAGGAUGAUCAGCCACGCUGGAACUGAGACACGGUCCAGACUCCUACGGGAGGCAGCAGUGGGGAAUAUUGGACAAUGGGCGCAAGCCUGAUCCAGCCAUACCGCGUGGGUGAAGAAGGCCUUCGGGUUGUAAAGCCCUUUUGUUGGGAAAGAAAGGCAGCAGGUUAAUACCCCGCUGUUCUGACGGUACCCAAAGAAUAAGCACCGGCUAACUUCGUG